AAUAUAUAUAUAUAUAUAUAUAUACAUUUCUGUUCUUUUCCACAGGAGACGAGGAGAAGACAGCUAGCGGAGGCUGCAGAGAAGAGACAGAAAGAGACCACCUACAGAGGUAUCAAAGACCCCAAAGCCUUGGAGAGGAAAAAGAAGAAACAAGAAGAGACAGAGAAACAGACCAUGAACUCUGCACCUUCUGGAGGCGGUGGGCUAAAGUGGCAGGUUGGCUAACACAGGCUAAAGGGAAGAUCGCUGUUGUGUUUACAUCGGGGGUCAACCUUCAUCUGCAGUUAUUUCCCGCUGACUUGAGAGAUUCUUAAAACUCUUCAUUCUUUCGGUUCUUAUUUUGAAGUGUACACUAGCCAGGGGAGUUUGCAUAGAGACUAGAAUUUUUGCCGAGCUCCUGCACAAAACUCCUCAUCCUCCAGGCCUUCUGAUUGGCCAGAGUGCAUUUAGGCCACACCCCUUUAAAUGCCAAGAUGGGCUUGCUAGUGGGUUUUUGGGACUUUAGCAAUUCAUGUCCCCACCCACACACACACACACACACACACACACACAAGCUGUUCAGUUUGUGUUCAUGCAUCAAGCUUUUGUACCGAUGUGCUUUCUAUUUUGAACAUUAAUGGAAUCCUCAAAUCUGCAAAUCUGAGAUCUGAAUGUCAUUUUAAUACACAUUUAUACAACCGAAAAGCAUCUUUUAUAUUGGAUUUUGGAUAAUUGAAUACAUAUUUAGGCAUUUAUAUUUAUGCAUCAGUUACCAGUGCAUUUUGCGAUUGGUCAGGACUUUAAGUAUAAUAAUAAUGGAUGUCAGUUAGCACUUUCACUGCCUGUUGA
rnacentral:lncRNA from 1 species